ACGGAAGGCAGCAGUGGGGAAUAUCGGGCAAUGGGCGAAAGCCUGACCCAGCAACGCCGCGUGAAGGAAGAAGGUCUUCGGAUUGUAAACUUCUUUUAUGAGGGACGAAGGAAGUGACGGUACCUCAUGAAUAAGCCACGGCUAACUACGUGCCAGCAGCCGCGGUAAUACGUAGGUGGCAAGCGUUAUCCGGAUUUACCGGGUGUAAAGGGCGCGUAGGCGGGAAAGCAAGUCAGAUGUGAAAUCUAUGGGCUUAACCCAUAAACUGCAUUUGAAACUGUAUCUCUUGAGUGCUGGAGAGGUAGAUGGAAUUCCUAGUGUAGCGGUGAAAUGCGUAGAUAUUAGGAAGAACACCAGUGGCGAAGGCGAUCUACUGGACAGUAACUGACGCUGAGGCGCGAAAGCGUGGGGAGCAAACAGGAUUAGAUACCCUGGUA
rnacentral:rRNA from 1 species